rnacentral:rRNA from 1 species
AUUGAACGCUGGCGGCAGGCCUAACACAUGCAAGUCGAACGAGUGGCGGACGGGUGAGUAAUGUCUGGGAAACUGCCUGAUGGAGGGGGAUAACUACUGGAAACGGUAGCUAAUACCGCAUACCAUCGGAUGUGCCCAGAUGGGCUUAGCUAGUAGGUUGGGUAAAGGCGCACAUAGGCGACGAUCCCUAGCUGGUCUGAGAGGAUGCCCAGCCACACUGGAACGGAGCAACGGUCCAGACUACUACGGGAGGAAGCAGUGGGGAAUAUUGCACAAUGGGCGCAAGCCUGAUGCAGCCAUGCCGCGUGUAUGAAGAAGGCCUUCGGGUUGUAAAGGACUUUCAGCGGGGAGGCGUUACCCGCAGAAGAAGCACCGGCUAACUCCGGGCGAGCAGCCGCGGUAAUAC